GUGAGCUAGCCCCACUUCUUAGUGUUCCUUAUUUUGUAGAGCCUUAGAAUGGCUUAAGGGAAAAAAAUUAAACCUCAUUAGCUUUGGAAUCAAAUUAAGAAAACGAAGCUGCGAAAGACUUAUUUUUGCCUGACGAUCUCUUUAAGGAUUAACAAGAAGAACAAUUGUUUGAUCUGUUGCUUGGGUCAUUAUUGUGUGAGGAGUUUGAGGAUACAUAAUUGCCGUGAGCAGAGAACUAGAAAGCUUGAAAAUUUUCUUGCGCAAUUCAACCAACAAUCAGAUCAUGAGUUGUUGAACUCCCGGGAAGUUUGAAAGGACGAGUUGAAGCUAAGAGUUGAGGUUUACUCUCCUAAAAGGGAGUUUCAUUAGAACCCCUAUGCUCCAUAUAUGAGAUAAAGCUAAGCCAUGUCUUCGCAUGAUCUAAUACUCAGUUCACUUUGUUCUUAUUCAGUAUGAAUUUAUAUGUGACAUGAAUACAUGCUUAUGUGUAUUACCAGUUGUUAUAUGCCUUUAUUUGCGAUAUUCACAUUCAGUUAAGUAUUCAGUUUCAACAUUAAUUCAUGCAUCAAUGUGAUCACAUUCAGUAGGGAGAAGUGGCAACCUCCCCCAACGUGAGUGCCAUGAUGUCAGGGUUACCUACCCCACGCUCGCAGGUGCCAAUUGUUUGUUGGGGAGAUAGGCCGACGCUCCCCCGUACGAUUUUCCAGAUGCUCACGUAUGCAGGGCCAUUAUGCGUAACAAUUUUUAGCAAAGUUGUGUCUUAAUAUAUAUAUAACUCAGUUUCUAUUUCAGAUAUCAAUUAUGGACUCAA